rnacentral:misc_RNA from 1 species
GGCUUCGAGAACCCACUCGUUGAACGCUGUGGAAUUUUAGGGCUCCUUCCUGAUGCAACAAACCCACACCAACAUCAUCAUCAAGAAUCUAAAUAUAUAGCGAAGCAAAAUCACCAGACAGACAUUAAAGAAAGUAUUAAUUAUUUACGUACCCAAAAUUGGUAGCAGCAUAGUAAGGUAUAUUACACAGCACGGCCUCGUCAAUGUCAAAAAC